ACUCACCUUUUCUUCCGGAGUAGUUGCUGGUGUUGGGUUGCACGUUCGACUUGCGGCCGCGUCCUCUCUUGGCGGCACUGCCACGGUUCCCACGGCUGUGAUUGUUAUGGCUGCUGCGACUGCACUCGUCGCUUUGCGGGGAAAUGCCGCGCGAAGCGGACGGUGUGCUUGCCUGCGAUUUUCCUUCGCUGAGAUAUUUCGGCUUUUUGAGCAAUUGAUAACUGAAGCGUCCAGAUGAAGUCCGCUCAUUUGGCGUCUUUGGCGGUCGACCGCGCUUACGGCUACCGCGACCGCUCAUUUUUGUGUGGUUUUCCUUUGCCUGGCUGCCUGGCUAGGCUAGGGCUAUCCAAUACACACAAUCUUACUACGACUGUCUUUGCUGUAGGUGCUUCUGCGUUUCGCUCAGAUAUAGUUCCGUUUUUUCGCGGAGGAAUUGCACAUUAGAUCUAUAACGAGAACAAAAAAAUUAUUUAAUACAAAUUGCUUCCGAUGUAUUGUGUACAUUUAUCACUCGCAACCAUCCGUCUACGAACACUGCCAAACACACACAGCUAUUCAAUUGGAUAUACGAGAAAAAUCGAUCAGCUUCAGAGCAGCAAUACUUUUUGAUUCAUUUCACUUUGUUUACGCGUUCCACACAUGGUUUUAUAUUUGACGAAACGAACGUUUAAUAACACCCGCCAAAAUAUAUACACAUUCAUUCGUUCAGGAUGUUUGACUAGGCUUAAUAUAUUAUAAGUACGUGUGUAUGCAAACACAUUCUCAAUUUAUAAUAUGGACUGCACACGCACUGAACGGCAGCACCACCAAAUGAGCUUGUGUGUGUGCGCGAGGAAAUGAAGCCAACGCACAUUGUCCGCCAUUUAUAAAAUGUGAAAAUUUUGUUAAUUCCUACUAGCGUCGAUAAAUCUGACACAAAAAACAUGAAAAUUUAAUGCACACAUUACCCCGCAUUUUGGGCAUAUUAUUGAUUAUAUUUAACACAAUAUAUUGUACAAUUUUAGACCGUCUUUCAACAAACCGCGAGCGAAUAUCUUUUACCUAACAUAGUCCACUUGAGAGGUGUACAGUCAGCCAAUCACAGAGGUUCUUUUAUUUGUGGAUGCCGCAAGCGACAUCUGUCGGUCGGUUUUCGUACUGAUUUGUGAAUGUUGAACACAGGGCUGCAAAUUACAUUAUCGAACUAUCAGAUGGCAUUGUCGAAUAUUUUUAAAAUGGUUUGUUUGUUUAAAAGUGGUGCAAAAUGAAUCAAAUUCAAUGCUAUUGCACUUCCAGUAUUGGAGCGGAUCUGUAUACCCCGAUCUACAUGCGCUGCUCCAAGAAUUGAUCAUCAUAAUGAUAUAAACUGCACUGCAUUUUUUUCUAAAGUGGCAUAUUUUCCGCCAAAAAUUAUACAAAUCAUUAUUAUUGAACUGUUAUUUCGUGAUUGGCGGUUCCUUGGUUGUCAAGACCUUUAAAUCCGACUUAAGUUGACUCGAUUCUCUUUAACGAUAUAUCGAUGGGGGAAAAAAACAUUGUUAUAUCGCACAGUGCUGAAAUGCGCUCCCUAUCGAUAUUGUAUACUGGACAUGCCAUGCCGGAAACCUAACGGAAAAUUAAGUAAAGUGAAAAAUGGUCGUGUUAUUGUUUUGGAUAAAUAUAUGUUAUUUAUUUGGCAUAUGGAGCAUAUUAGGUUGCUAAUGUAUACGGGCUGUGUUCUUUCUGGUUAAAGUUACGAGUGUGUUGUUCGUUAUGUUUUUGAAACGUGUAGGUUCUUUAUAAUAUAAAUUGCUCAGUCAAUACCAAGUACAUACCACAUUUACCGUUGCCAAUUUUUGCAUGUAUUGUAUGUACAAUUGAAAUUCUCAAAACGUUUCUGCGUAUUUAUGUGGAAAUACUGGAAACACUAACAAAUGCCAAGGUUCGUAUAUAUGUAUGUAUUUUUGAUGCCAUAUUCUUAAAAACACCUUCCCUUCAGUUAAAAUGUUCUCUAGUUGCGAGCACGUUUCCGAAACGCAUCUCAGUAUCGGGUAUUUCUGUGGGUAGUUUUCUAUUCAGCUUGGAGUGGGGUCUUCUG